GGGGCAUUGGCUCAGCGGAAGAGCACUCGGUUCCGAACCGAGAGGUCGGAGGUUCGAUCCCUCCAUGCCCCA
rnacentral:tRNA from 1 species